GAUGAACGCUGGCGGCGUGCCUAAUACAUGCAAGUCGAGCGAACAGACGAGGAGCUUGCUCCUCUGACGUUAGCGGCGGACGGGUGAGUAACACGUGGAUAACCUACCUAUAAGACUGGGAUAACUUCGGGAAACCGGAGCUAAUACCGGAUAAUAUAUUGAACCGCAUGGUUCAAUAGUGAAAGACGGUUUUGCUGUCACUUAUAGAUGGAUCCGCGCCGCAUUAGCUAGUUGGUAAGGUAACGGCUUACCAAGGCGACGAUGCGUAGCCGACCUGAGAGGGGGAAUGGACCAAAUGGAAAUGAGACAAGGUACAGACUCCUAAGGGAGGCAGCAGUAGGGAAUCUUCCGGCAUGGGCGAAAGGCUGACGGAGGAACGCCGGGGGAGUGAUGAAGGUCUUCGGAUCGUAAAACUCUGUUAUUAGGGAAGAACAAAUGUGUAAGUAACUAUGCACGUCUUGACGGUACCUAAUCAGAAAGCCACGGCUAACUACGUG
rnacentral:rRNA from 1 species